GGCUCUCUUAUUUCUUCAGAACCCCCCUUGAGGGACGGAUCAUUGCUUAAAACAGAUUUUUCACCCCAGAAGUGGAUUAGAUCUUUUUCUACAUGCAGUGAACCUGCUAAAAUAGAGAAGAUAGUCAACACCUCGGUCAGAAGGGGACACACUAGCCCUGCUUAUUUUACUGCAUCUGGUGGAGGUGUUUUAAGUACUCCCGCUGUAAAUGCUCCACAGGACAAAGAAGAGCUCCAGUUGAAGGCGCCUUCCUGAUGCAACUAAGGGAAACGACCAUUUGAGGGUUUGUUAAGACCAUGGGUCUUGACGACAUUGACAUUGUGACACUAUCUUGUGGCCACACUCUGGGAGCUGCCCACAAGGAGCGAUCUGGAUUUGAGGGACCAUGGACUUCCAAUCCACUUAUCUUCGACAACAGUUACUUCA